GUGACAUCAAAGUUUGUUUCUCGGUGUUGUGGUCUAGACAACUUUCCAAGGUAUGUUCUAUGGAUAAUGCAAUUUUUAUUGUAAAAAAAAAAACUCCACUGGACCAGGGUGCAAUCUUCAUUAUCAACAAUAAAUCCAUAAAUUUGAUCCGGCAUUUACACAUGCAAGUAUCAAAACGUUUCAAGAAUGGUAAUGAGGGAUCUCCAACCUAUGUUUAAUAUUAGAAUGCAACAUAAUUUGUCUUUGAAAGAAAAAGAGGCUAUCUCCAAUCUUGCUAAUGACACAAAUAUUGUAAUACUCACGGCUGACAAGGGUGGUGUGAUUGUGGUCCUAAAUUAUAGUGACUAUAAAGAGGACAUUAUAUCAAUUCAAUGAUCAACAAACCAGUUAUUAGAUGGGGAUCCAGUCACUAGGUUUUAGGCUAUAAUAAAUAGGACUUUACAAAAAGGCCUUGAUGCUGGAUGGAUAGAUAACUGUGUACAUAUGAAUUACUUAGUUAAACAGCCUAUCUGUCCAAUCCUUUACACUAUUCCCAAAGUACACAAGAACCUAGACAAACCUCCAGGUCGACCUAUAGUGUCUGCUAGGGGCUCUGUUACUGCCUUUAGCCAUUUGGAUUGAUAAACAUCUUCAACUAAUAAUGAUACAUAUGAGAUCAUAUGUACGUGAUUCUACUGAAUUGAUAAAAUAAAAAUGUCAUGAGAACUUCUGGAUUGAAUGCAACUGAUUUGCUGGUGACACUUGAAGUCACUAGCUGAUAUACAAUCAUAUGACAUACUGAUGGAAUAAACUCAGUCCAAAAGACACUAUUGAAAUACCCUUAUAUAAGGCCUGUUUUUGACUAAAUCAUUGAAAUGUCUGUCUUACAACUAUUUAAAGUUUGAAUUUUCAUAAUAUCAGCAAAAAAUGGGCACAGCAAUGGGGUCUAAUAUGGCCACAUCUUAUCCAAGUUUAUAUAUGGAAGAUUAUGAAGAGUACAUUAUGGAUGUCCACAUAUCUUGAGGUACAUGGAUGACAUUUAUUUUUUUUAUUUGGAGAGGUUCCGAGAAUGAAGUAAAUAAUUGGGUUAGAGAUUUGAUCAAUUGCCCACUCCAGUGGAGUUUAAAGAGGUUUAUCAUUCAGAUGUAAUUAAUUCAUUUUUGGAUAUAAGGAUAAUCAAAGUGGAGGAGUACUUUGAAACAACGUUAUUCCAGAACAGUACAGAUCAUAAUUCACUUCUGUUGGAAAAUAGCUGCCAUCAUCACCCUUUGAUAAGAGCGAUCUUGAAGGCACAAAUGUGCAGGGUGAAGAGGACUAAAGCAGAUCUAAAAAGGCACAGCAACAACUUAGGGGGAUAUGGCUUCCAAAUUCUUAAAUCUAGGAUAAGCCUAUGAGCUGAUAAAGGAUACCGGCAAAUUGUUGAAAACUAUAAAAAAAAAAAACUACUCGGUAAGACAAGAAGUUCUGAUAACAAACUGACAAUGAUUGCCACCUAUACACCAGCAGUUGGGACACUGGCCAAUUCUGUAAAAGAACAUUGGGACAUUUUAAAAGCAGACCCUACUCUUCCCUUUUUUAACAGAUAUACAUAGGAUAGACUACAAUAAAGGGCGACGCCUUAAUCUAUUAAUGAAAACAGAUCCCAAACAUGGUUGCUGACGACGAAAUGUGAAUCACAGCACAGAAGUGCCAUCAGGGCAACUUUGAAUACACGGAAGACAGACCAACCUGUUGCUAGACACUUUAUGGAAAAAAAUCACAUACUGAAGGAUUUGGGAUUUAUAUUGAUCCUGUACCUCCAAGAGUGGGAGAUAGGAGAAUAAGGUUAUUGCAGAUGGAAGCCAAAUGGAUCUUAAUGCUAGAUACACUACAACCAAAGGGACUCAAUUCAAGUAUAAAUUGACACUGUUAUUUAUCAUUUAGUGUGUGUAUAUAUGUAUAUCAGAUGCUGAUGAAGGGGACCUGAUCCCCGAAAAACGUUUCAAAUAAAGUAACUUUACUUUUGUUGUCAAA